GGAUGAGCCCGCGUCCCAUCAGUUUGUUGGUGGGGUAAUGGCCCACCAAGGCUAUGAUGGGUAGCUGGUCUGAGAGGAUGAUCAGCUAUAUUGGAAUUGAGAUAUGGUCCAGAUUUUUAUGGGAGGUAGUAGUGGGGAAUUUUGCGUAAUGGGCGAAAGCCUGACGCAGCAACGCCGCGUGUGUGAUGAAGGUCUUUGGAUCGUAAAGCACUGUCGCGAGGGACGAAUAAGUCUUCGGUUAAUAUCCGGGGACGAUGAUGGUACCUCGAGAGGAAGCACCGGUUAAUUCUGUGUUAGUAGUUGCGGUAAUACAGAGGGUGCAAGCGUUGUUCGGAAUUAUUGGGCGUAAAGCGCGUGUAGGCGGUCUGCCAAGUCGGGUGUGAAAGUCCUCGGUUUAAUCGAGGAAGUGCGCCCGAAAUUAGCAGACUUGAGUACCGGAGAGGGUGGUGGAAUUUUUGGUGUAGAGGUGAAAUUUGUAGAUAUUGGGAGGAAUAUUAGUGGUGAAGGUGGCCACCUGGACGGAUACUGACGCUGAGACGCGAAAGCGUGGGUAGUAAAUAGGAUUAGAUAUCCUGGUAGUCCACGCUGUAAAUGAUGAGCGCUAGGUGUUGUGGGUGUUGAUCCCCGCAGUGCCGCAGUUAAUGCAUUAAGCGCUCCGCCUGGGAAGUAUGGCCGUAAGGCUAAAACUCAAAGGAAUUGAUGGGGGCCCGCACAAGCGGUGGAGCAUGUGGUUUAAUUUGAUCCAUGUGCAGAAUUUUACCUGGUCUUGAUAUCCUCGGAAUCCUUUAGAGAUGAGGGGGUGCCCGUAAGGGAACCGAGAGAUGGGUGCUGUAUGGCUGUCGUCAGCUCGUGUUGUGAGAUGUUGGGUUAAGUCUUGUAACGAGUGUAACCCCUGCCGUUAGUUGUUAUUAUUUAGUUGGGUAUUUUAACGGGACUGCCGGCGUUAAGCCGGAGGAAGGUGGGGAUGACGUCAAGUCCUUAUGGCCUUUAUGACCAGGGUUAUAUACGUGCUAUAAUGGCCGGUAUAGAGGGUUGUUAAGUCGUGAGACGGAGUUAAUCCUAGAAAACCGGCCUUAGUUCGGAUUGGAGUCUGUAAUUUGACUCCAUGAAGUUGGAAUCGCUAGUAAUCGCAGAUUAGUAUGCUGCGGUGAAUAUGUUUCCGGGCCUUGUAUAUAUCGCCCGUCACACCAUGGGAGUCAGUUGCUCCAGAAGUGGCUGUGCCAACCCGUAAGGGAGGCAGGUCCCUAAGGAGUGGCUGGUAACUGGGGUGAAGUCGGAAUAAGGUA
rnacentral:rRNA from 1 species